rnacentral:pre_miRNA from 1 species
CAUGUACUCCCUCCGUUCCGAAUUACUUGUCUCGGAAAUGGAUGUAUUUAGAACUAAAAUACAUCUAGAUACAUCCAUUUUCGCGACAAGUAAUUCCGAACGGAGGGAGUACACA